rnacentral:misc_RNA from 1 species
UCUCCGUUGGUGAACCAGCGGAGGGAUCAUUAGUGGAAUCGCAAGAUCCCACAACCCCUGUGAACCUACCGAAACGUUGCCUCGGCGGGCGCCCGGCCCCGCGCCGGGCGUCGAGCCCGCCGGUGGCCCACUACUCUGUCUCUGCAGCGUGGCAUCUCCGAGUACAAGAAAAACAAGUCAAAACUUUCAACAACGGAUCUCUUGGCUCUA